AAGUGGCCCCAGGAAAGGCAAGCCCUAAGCUUGCCCAAUUGGGCAGAAGAAUCCUCCUCAGAUCAUCACCGCCUCAGGGGAGAUCUCACCAUGCAAGAACAUCAAUGAAAAAAAGAAGACAAUAAACCAAAAGUGUCUCACCCCAUCUGAAAGACUGGUGACUCUGCUGUGAGCAAGAGAGCAGCAAGGACAAUAAUAACAAGGAUACUGCUGUUCAGAGAAAGCUUCUUCCUGUGACCAUGCACUCACAACAGCAUCAGACUGACACUCAAGAGAUGGGAAUAAAGGAAGAAACUCUAGCCCUGUGCCUUGAUUUCACCUCCUCUGCACUUGUGAUGCUGAAGAUUGCCUACCCUGCUGGUAUUAAGUCAUACAUAUUUUAACCUGGUUCUUGUCAUGUGUCAUCAAAUCCUGUUUUUCAGGUAGUGAGAUUCAUAGAUUUAAUUGCAUAAGAUUUUACUACAGGAGUGAAUGGUCAUGAGAUCAUUUUCAUCUCUGGGUCUCAGCAGGGAAAGCAACUUUUAGAGAGCUGGCUCCCACACUCCAGCCCCUGGCUGAAGGUCUCAGCUUCUAAAUCCAACUAAACUAAACACAGACUAGGAAGGUGUCACAACUGGGUCUAGUGAUGAAACACAGUAAACUGUGCUUUAUGCUAAGGAGUAAGUCAAUAACUCCUGCUACAGCCAGACUGGCUUCUAGCAGAUUUUUUCCAAGAGCUCUGCUAAGUUUUUGGCUACAGCUCUGUGAGAGUGACCGGGUAACAGAUCAGACAUAACACGGCCAGCAUGGCAGUGACAGGUUCUCCCUUCGAGAGCACAGGCCACACAAACUGUGUCUGGGCUCGGAUUUCAUGUUAACCCAGGCUGAUGAAAAGUGCACAGGGCAGGACUGAUCAAAGGCUUCACACUGAAAGAAAUGAGAAACUUGGAAUUUGAGAUGGUUUUGAUGAGAAAAACACUUGAUGAAACUUUGCUCUUUCAGCUUGGUUUUGCUUUGACUUUGGGGUUCAUGGGAAUACAAAAAGCAAUGGAAGCAAAGCUGCAAGGGCAGAAAUCUUAGCUGAGUUUUAGUGAUCUGGUUCUUACUUUGGGACCUCUCCAUCUGCUCCAGGACCGUGUGUGAUCAGGAAUUUAUUACUGUGGCAGUUAUUAUUUUGGACACAAAGCCCAAGUCACGGAAGCCACAACUCCUCGCAGGGUGCAUCUUCGCUCUGGUUGUGCUGGGAGAAGCUUAGGUCCAGGACAGAGCUCUGAGACACCUCCUGGUUGAUGCACCUGUCUUCCUGGGAAGCAGAAGACACAAACGCGAGCCAUCCCCAUCCUGAGUCUUUCACGCCCCGAUCGGGCUGCACUACAGUUUCUACUGGCUCAUGCUGGUUUUAUGCCAAUCACGCUGGCCAGCCGUGAAGAGAGUGCCAGUGGCCCGACCUUGACCUGGGAGGGCAGCCCAAGCGCGGUGGCUGGAGGCACAUGCCCAUUCCCAUCACCGUGAAUUUGAGAUAGGAUGAUUUCAUGCAGACAGCGAGGAGCAAAAAUGUUCCAAUGCCAGCUUUUCUGGCUGAAGUCAGGCUUGCGUUCCAAACCAGCUCGCCCUGCCCCGCGGCCACCCACAACACUGCACCCCACGGGAGAGGUUCCCCAGCGCUGCCAAACGAAGCGGCGCUGGGCGAACGCGAGGAGGACCCAUGCCAGGCAGGGGUCAGGGCUCUGCACCGCCAGCAGGCAGCUGUGUCCCAGCACGCUCCAGCACAACACUGGGACGCUGCUCUCUGCAGGAUCAGCCUGGACUUGCCUGAGCUGCGAGACCCCAGUGACGACGUCACGCAAGAUGCUGGCGGCACCAGAAGCGUCCCCAAGGGCUGCUGCCUGUUUUCCUUCAGGUCAUGUUGGAGGGAUUCGGUGAGAGGUGGAGGGUGGUUUCUUAGCUCCUCCCAGGGUCAGCUCAGGGCAGCGUGUGGGGGCUUCGACCCUCUCUGACAUGAGCAAGAACCUGUUUUUCCACGGGGCCAUUUGUUUAACUUGCUGAUUUGGGUCCUGUUCUGUGUCUGCUGCUUCUGCCAUGAAACGCAAACUGAUUCGCCCCAGCAGCAUUUUCACUCACUCAGGUAAGAGUUAAAGAAGGAAGAGCAGGUGAUCAACCAAGGUACCAUCAGUUUACAAAGCUUCUGGCAGAGGUUCUUUUCCCUAACCAGAAAAUUAACUAACCCAAGCCACUCCAAGAGUUAGAGUAGGUAAUUUUGGAGGACAGGAUACUAUUUUUUAAACCUCCUUGUGGUGCCCUCUGAUCUGCUACAAUAAAUGGGAGCCCCAUUUGCUCAGUGAUGAAACUGAAGCUACAGAGAACAUCAAUCACAGUGAAAAAACGCAUCUAUCACACCUACAUGCACACUACCUCCACGUGCCUACAGUGCAGGUUUUAGUAUAGCUAUUACUUAGGGCCUGAGCUGGAAGUCCACAUGUCCCACCUUUGCUUUCUGAAAAGCUGGAAAUGAAAAACCUCUCUUGCUAUCAGGACAAUAACUCGAGGCAAAAGAAAUUCCUUGUUUCAGGACAUGUCAAAGCCUCUACCAGUAUCUAAUUUUUUCAAGCAAAAGUAGUCAUGAUAGCCAGUGGAUUGAGCACCGGCUAAAAAAUCCAAUUAAAACACUAUUUUCAUUGGC